GAUGAAGAACGUAGCGAAAUGCGAUAAGUAAUGUGAAUUGCAGAAUUCAGUGAAUCAUCGAAUCUUUGAACGCACCUUGCGCUCCUUGGUAUUCCGAGGAGCAUGCCUGUUUGAGUGUCAUUAAAUUCUCAACCUUAUUAGCUUUUGCUGAUAAUGGCUUGGACUUGGUGGUCUUUUUGCUGGCUUUCAUUAGUCUGCUCCCCUUAAAUGUAUUAGCCGGUGCCCCGCAGUGGAACCGUCUAUUGGUGUGAUAAUUAUCUACGCCGUGGACGUCUGCUAUAAUGGGUUUGCGCUGCUUCUAACCGUCUCUCGGGACAACACAAAUGACAAUUUGACCUCAAAUCAGGUAGGACUACCCGCUGAACUUAAGCAUAUCAAUAAGCGGAGGA
rnacentral:misc_RNA from 1 species